UGAUAAUGGACUGAACCUCUGAACCUGUGCUGUGUCAGGCCAAACCGUGUCCCCUGGGCCUGUGAAUGCUCCCGAUCUCAGGCCCCCUGAGUGACUCACAUUUCAACCCGCGCUUCUCUCUGAAACUGGCACCUGAGUGCUUUCCUUCGAGUCAUCCAGGGCGACAAAAUGGUAUUCCCACCACUUAACUUAGCCAUCUGCCAGAAGUGGCUCUUGCUCCUCUUCCUCGGGCAGGAGACUGCCCAGCUGGACCCGGUUGGCUUGCAGCACUUUAUAGCGAAUACUGAGUCUAAACAUCUCUCCUUCGAGUUUCCUUUCACUCACUGUUACUUCAGAAGCUCUUCCGAUAUUUCUCUUCUGGGAGAAUGUCCUGUCUAUGUGUGACCCGUUUCCAACUCCCCUCUUCCUCCUUUACGGGCUCAGCAGGAAA